rnacentral:rRNA from 1 species
GAUGAGCGCUGGCGGCGCGCCUAACACAUGCAAGUCGAACGGCACCCCUCUCCGGAGGGAAGCGAGUGGCGAACGGCUGAGUAACACGUGGAGAACCUGCCCCCUCCCCCGGGAUAGCCGCCCGAAAGGACGGGUAAUACCGGAUACCCCCGGGAGCCGCAUGGCUCCCGGGCUAAAGCCCCGACGGGAGGGGAUGGCUCCGCGGCCCAUCAGGUAGACGGCGGGGUGACGGCCCACCGUGCCGACAACGGGUAGCCGGGUUGAGAGACCGACCGGCCAGAUUGGGACUGAGACACGGCCCAGACUCCUACGGGAGGCAGCAGUGGGGAAUCUUGCGCAAUGGGGGGAACCCUGACGCAGCGACGCCGCGUGCGGGACGGAGGCCUUCGGGUCGUAAACCGCU